GUCCUGUUGAAUUCUCAUUAUGUUUUAACCAAAAUCAAGUUCUGGAAAGUUCAGUGACAACUUCCGAUACCUAAUAAGUUCGAUUUUACUUUGAAUUUUGAUCUGAUUUUAGAAUUGUUGCUUCGAUCUAUGAUCCUUGUAUCAUUUUCUUUGAUUUGAACUGUUUAGUUUCGAUUUUUGUUUACGAAAUAUUUUUAGGGUUUGUAAUCAACCCUGAUUUAUAAUUACUUAUGAUUUCAACUAAAUUUUCACGACGAAACCAAGAUUAGAUUUCAGAUCUGUUAUAAUCUAAUCUUUAUCUUGCUUUUAAGAUGAAACAUUUGAAAGAUUUUGAAAGAAAAUUACAAAAAAAUUCUAGGUUUCUUUAUUGAAAAUCAAUCAAUCUAUCUAUCUUAAAUCUCGAUUGAAAAAUUGGUUAUCAUAUUUGAAAUCUGCGAAUCAUCAUCUCUAUUACCCAUCUAUCUGUUACGAAUUUCAUCUACUUUGAUUUUGCAACUGGCUGCUUGUAUCAGAUAUUGAAUGUUUUAUUAUAAUGCAAUCAAAAUUGGAAUUAGUUGUUUGAGAUACAACAUCAGAUGUCAAAAGUCAGUGUGAAUGAAUUUCUCAUGUUGAUGAGCUCUUUUUAGGUGCUCUUGUACUUGUUGGUUUUAUGUCCAUUUAAUAAGGUAAUUAUGCAUCUAGUUUAUGUUCAUUUUUUGUUGAUUAUACUGGUUUUCAUGUUGUUUUGUGCAGGGCAAAGGAAUUCACAGAAGACUUCUGAUAAAGAAGAUAUUACUAUCAUCCAAACGUUUGUUGCAGAUCUCAAGGAAAUGGCUAAACUAGAAUAUGAGAAACAACUUAUUGAUGACCAGGCCAAGGAGGAAGAAGUAAAGGCUUAUGAAUCUGUUAAGUCUGUAAAAGAUGUAGGCAUUGAUCCAAUACAAGAGUCUCCAGAAUCUCCUUCACAAUGGCCCUUGGAGUUCGAGAGGAAACAACGAUACAUUAUUGAACUUUGGCACUUCUGUUGCAUCUCAUUGGUCCAUUAAACCUACUUCUUUUUGCUCUUUAAAGGUGAUUCGUCAGAUUCCAUUUACUUAGAGGUGGAGCUGAGAAGGUUAUCAUUUCUUAAAGACAAUUUUUCUCGGGGAAAUUUUCAUAAAGUGUCUGCAGGCGCUGAUCAGGAUCUAUCAUUAGCUUCAAGGCUCAAACAGUCAUCCCACUGGCACUGGACUGGAUCAUAAAGUGGCUUAGCCCCAAAAUAUUACUUAUUCAAGUAUCAAGUAAAACUGGUCUUUAUGACAGUCAACCCUUAGUCCAGGUCAGCUCAUCAUGAACAAUGCAACUCAACUAAAGCAAGAGAACUUAAUGAAAAUUGCGCUUGAUACUACUACAAGGUCUCAUUGGAACUGAAAUUGACGCAGAAUACACAAGAUAGACGCAUGUGGAACCCUCAAUCACACUAGAUAGACGCAUGUGUAACCCUCAAUUACACUAGAUAGACGCAUGUGUAACUCUCAAUUACACUAGAUAGACGCAUGUGUAACUCUCAAUUACACUAGACAGAUGCGUGUGUAACUUCUAGUUACACAUGCUAAGAAAUUAUUGUAAAUGAAUAUUAAAGUAAUACAUGUAUUUUUUUUUGUA